rnacentral:rRNA from 1 species
GACGUAGGGCGCGAGCGUUGUCCGGAUUUAUUGGGCGUAAAGAGCUCGUAGGCGGCUUGUUGCGUCGACUGUGAAAACCCGCAGCUUAACUGCGGGCCUGCAGUUGAUACGGGCAGGCUAGAGUUCGGUAGGGGAGACUGGAAUUCCUGGUGUAGCGGUGAAAUGCGCAGAGAUGCGGAGGAACACCGAUGGCGAAGGCAGCCCCCUGGGCUAGCACUGACGCUCAGGCACGAAAGCGUGGGGAGCAAACAGG